rnacentral:lncRNA from 12 species
CUAAGGUUUUAGAGCAUGUAAAGGAGCUAUUCACCUUUGAAUGAUGUCUCUGGGCUUGCUAGUAGACCCUGUCGGAGACCAGUGGUGGGACAGCAGGAAACUGUCCAGCUCUUUGGGGUUCUCCUGUCUUCCAUCCAGUAUCAUGUUCUUAUUUUAACCAUUUCUCCUCUUUUCUUUCUCCUCCCCCCGUUAUUUUGUACAGAAUGAGUUGGCAGUAGCUUCCUUUACAGUCAAACCUAUAGGAUAUACAGAUUAUACAGAGUAUCAAUACAGUUAUUUCUUUUCUAGAAAUGAAAGAGGAAUAAAACAAAUAAAAAGAGGAAAGUCCUCCUUCGGAUAUCCAGGGCAUGAGCAGAGUGCGGAACCUGGUUUGGUAGGCACGAGUCCAUCUCUCUGAGCCUUGUCUCCUCCAGACACAUUGAAAGGAUCCAGUAACUUUCACUUGGAGCAAACUCCCAGAAGAUGACAGAAGGAGAGCGCCCCGUAGAACCUCAUCUGCAUUAAAUGCUGCAAAACCACAUGGUUGUCUUUUUUCCAAUCCAAGGAUGAGUACUUUCUUCCUUUUCUAAAAGGAUAGACUCAUCUUUGUAGGGGAACCCAUUAAGAAUCUGUUUUGGUGUCUCUUGCUCUCUCUCUGAAAUGAAUAAAUAAGAUUUUUUUUUUAAAAGAAUCUUUCUU